GACGAACGCUGGCGGCGUGCUUAACACAUGCAAGUCGAACGGAAAGGCCCUGCUUUUGUGGGGUGCUCGAGUGGCGAACGGGUGAGUAACACGUGAGUAACCUGCCCCUGACUUUGGGAUAACUUCAGGAAACUGGGGCUCAUACCGGAUAGGAGUUCCUGCUGCAUGGUGGGGGUGGGAAAGUUUCGGCGGUUGGGGAUGGACUCGCGGCUUAUCAGCUUGUUGGUGGGGUAGUGGCUUACCAAGGCUUUGACGGGUAGCCGGCCUGAGAGGGUGACCGGCCCCAUUGGGACUGAGAUACGGCCCAAACUCCUACGGGAGGCAGCGGUGGGGAAUAUUGCACAAUGGGCGGAAGCCUGAUGCAGCAACGCCGCGUGCGGGAUGACAGCCUUCGGGUUGUAAACCGCUUUCGCCUGUGACGAAGCGUGAGUGACGGUAAUGGGUAAAGAAGCACCGGCUAACUACGUG
rnacentral:rRNA from 1 species